UUCUCCACUUGAGCUUCUGCU
rnacentral:piRNA from 1 species